GAUGAACGCUGGCGGCGUGCCUAAUACAUGCAAGUCGAGCGAACAGACGAGGAGCUUGCUCCUUUGACGUUAGCGGCGGACGGGUGAGUAACACGUGGAUAACCUACCUAUAAGACUGGGAUAACUUCGGGAAACCGGAGCUAAUACCGGAUAACAUGUUGAACCGCAUGGUUCAACAGUGAAAGACGGUCUUGCUGUCACUUAUAGAUGGAUCCGCGCCGCAUUAGCUAGUUGGUAAGGUAACGGCUUACCAAGGCAACGAUGCGUAGCCGACCUGAGAGGGUGAUCGGCCACACUGGAACUGAGACACGGUCCAGACUCCUACGGGAGGCAGCAGUAGGGAAUCUUCCGCAAUGGGCGAGAGCCUGACGGAGCAACGCCGCGUGAGUGAAGAAGGUCUUCGGAUCGUAAAACUCUGUUAUUAGGGAAGAACAAAUGUGUAAGUAACUAUGCACGUCCUGACGGUACCUAAUCAGAAAGCCACGGCUAACUACGUG
rnacentral:rRNA from 1 species